rnacentral:rRNA from 1 species
GGUCAAGCUACGAAGGGCUCAUGGUGGAUACCUAGGCACACAGAGGCGAUGAAGGACGCGGUUACCGGCGAUAUGCCACGGGGAGCAGGAAGCAUGCAUUGAUCCGUGGGUUUCCGAAUGGGGCAACCCUAGAUACGGCCCAUUGAAUACAUAGAUGGGUACGAGCUAACGCAGCGAAUUGAAACAUCUUAGUAGCUGCAGGAAGAGAAAGAAAACUCGAUUCCCUUAGUAGCGGCGAGCGAAGCGGGAAGAGCCUAAACCAGUCUUUUUUAGGGCUGGGGUAGUGGGACAGCGAGAUGGAAUCUGGACGAUAGACGAAUCACUUGAGAGGUGAACCAAAGAAGGUGAGAGUCCUGUAGUCGACAUUGAAGAGAUACUAGCUGACUCCCGAGUAGGUCGGGGCACGUGGAAUCCCGAUUGAAUCAGCGAGGACCACCUCGUAAGGCUAAAUACUCCUGUGUGACCGAUAGCGAAUAGUACCGCGAGGGAACGGUGAAAAGAACCCCGGGAGGGGAGUGAAAUAGAACAUGAAACCAUGAGCUUACAAGCAGUUAGAGCACGAUUAAACGUGUGAUAGCGUGCCUGUUGAAGAAUGAGCCGGCGACUUAUAGGCACUGGCAGGUUAAGUCGGGAAUGACGGAGCCAAAGGGAAACCGAGUCUGAUAAGGGCGUUAGUCAGUGUUUAUAGACCCGAACCCGGGUGAUCUAACCAUGUCCAGGUUGAAGCUUAGGUAACACUAAGUGGAGGACCGAACCGACUUCUGUUGAAAAAGGAGCGGAUGAGGUGUGGUUAGGGGUGAAAUGCCAAUCGAACCCGGAGCUAGCUGGAUCUCCUCGAAAUGUGUUUAGGCGCAGCGGUCAUGAUUAUAGGUGGGGGGUAAAGCACUGUUUCGGUGCGGGCUGCGAGAGCGGUACCAAAUCGAGACAAACUCAGAAUACCCAUUGAAUACAUGGCCAGUGAGACGGUGGGGGAUAAGCUUCAUCGUCGAGAGGGAAACAGCCCAGACCACCAGCUAAGGUCCCCAAAUCAUCUCUAAGUGAUAAAGGAGGUGAGAAUGCUGAGACAACCAGGAGGUUUGCCUAGAAGCAGCCAUCCUUGAAAGAGUGCGUAAUAGCUCACUGGUCAAGCGUUCUUGCGCCGAAAAUGAACGGGGCUAAGAGAUGUACCGAAGCUGUGGACUUAAUUAAUUAAGUGGUAGAGGAGCGUUCUGUAGUAGUUAGAAGCAUUAGCGAGAGCAGGUGUGGACGAAGCAGAAGUGAGAAUGUCGGCUUGAGUAGCGAAAAUAGAUGUGAGAAUCAUCUACCCCGAAAACCUAAGGAUUCCUCCGGAAGGCUCGUCCGCGGAGGGUUAGUCGGGACCUAAGGCGAGGCCGAAAGGCGUAGUCGAUGGAUAUCAGGUUAAUAUUCCUGAACUCUGAUUGUGGAGCAUUGCAGGGACGCAUGACAACUAGCUACACCCUAAUUGGAUUGGGAGACUGCCACGGCGGUUGCGUAGUGAACGAUAGUGCCUAGAAAAGCUGUGGAUGUAUUGAAGCGAUUGGACCCGUACUGUAAACCGACACAGGUGGGUGGGUUGAGUAUACUAAGGGGCGCGAGAUAACUCUCUCUAAGGAACUCGGCAAAAUGGCCCCGUAACUUCGGGAGAAGGGGUGCCCUCUUAACGGGGGGCCGCAGUGAAGAGAUCCAGGCGACUGUUUACCAAAAACACAGGUUUCUGCCAACUCGAAAGAGGAAGUAUAGGAGCUGACGCCUGCCCAGUGCCGGAAGGUUAAGGAAGCUGGUCAGUCUUCGGAUGAAGCUAGCGACCGAAGCCCCGGUGAACGGCGGCCGUAACUAUAACGGUCCUAAGGUAGCGAAAUUCCUUGUCGGGUAAGUUCCGACCCGCACGAAAGGCGUAACGAUCUGGAUGCUGUCUCGGAGAGAGACUCGGCGAAAUAGGAUUGUCUGUGAAGAUACGGACUACCUGCACCUGGACAGAAAGACCCUAUGAAGCUUUACUGUAGCUUGGUAUUGGGUUCGGGCUUUGAUUGCGCAGGAUAGGUGGGAGACUUAGAAGUAGACCUUGUGGGGUUUACUGAGUCACUGGUGAGAUACCACUCUAUCAAGGCUAGGAUUCUAACAUUGAGCCGUUAACCGGCCAGUGGACAGUAUCAGGUGGGCAGUUUGACUGGGGCGGUCGCCUCCUAAAAGGUAACGGAGGCGCGCAAAGGUUCUCUCCGGCUGGUUGGAAAUCAGCCUACGAGUGUAAAGGCAUAAGAGAGCUUGACUGCGAGAGUGACAACUCAAGCAGGGUGGAAACACGGCCUUAGUGAUCCGACGGUACCGAGUGGAAGGGCCGUCGCUCAACGGAUAAAAGUUACUCUAGGGAUAACAGGCUGAUCUCCCCCAAGAGUUCACAUCGACGGGGAGGUUUGGCACCUCGAUGUCGGCUCGUCGCAACCUGGGGCGGUAGUACGUCCCAAGGGUUGGGCUGUUCGCCCAUUAAAGCGGCACGCGAGCUGGGUUCAGAACGUCGUGAGACAGUUCGGUCCAUAUCCGGUGCAGGCGUAAGAGCAUUGAGAGGAGUCUUCCUUAGUACGAGAGGACCGGGAAGAACGCACCUCUGGUGUACCUGUUAUCGUGCCAACGGUAAACGCAGGGUAGCCAAGUGCGGAGCGGAUAACCGCUGAAAGCAUCUAAGUGGGAAGCCCACCUCAAGAUGAGUGCUCUCAUGGAGUUAAUCCAGUAAGGUCACGGGAAGACGACCCGUUGAUAGGUUCUAAGUGGAAGUGUGGCAACAUACGAAGCUGAGGGAUACUAACAGACCGAGGGCUUGUCCUA